rnacentral:rRNA from 1 species
GCCUCAGUAACGGCGAGUGAAGCGGCAACAGCUCAAAUUUGAAAUCUGGAGCCUUCGGCUUCCGAGUUGUAAUUUGAAGAGGAUGUUUCGGUGCGACCUGGGCCUAAGUUCCUUGGAACAGGACGUCAUGGAGGGUGAGAAUCCCGUACAUGGCUGCAGGUUUGCUUCUAUGUGAAACUCCUUCGAAGAGUCGAGUUGUUUGGGAAUGCAGCUCAAAAUGGGUGGUAAAUUUCAUCUAAAGCUAAAUAUUGGCGGGAGACCGAUAGCGCACAAGUAGAGUGAUCGAAAGAUGAAAAAGCACUUUUGAAAAGAGAGUUAAACAGUACGUGAAAUUGUUGAAAGGGAAGCGCUUGCAAUCAGACUCGCCUUCAGUUGAUCAGCCUUCCUUCUGGUUGGUGCACUCUGCUGUUGGCGGGCCAGCAUCAGUUGGGGCGGUGGGACAAAGGCGGCAGGAAUGUGGCUCGCUUCGGUGAGUGUUAUAGCCUGCUGUGUCAUGCCACCAGUCCCGAUUGAGGUCCGCGGUUCGCCUAGGAUGCUGGCUUAAUGGUUGUAAGCGACCCGUCUUGAAACACGGACCAAGGAGUCUAACAUCUAUGCGAGUCUUUGGGUGUAAAACCCAUGGGCGGAAUGAAAGUGAACGGAGGUGGGAGUCCUCGGAUGCACCAUCGACCGAUCCUGAUGUUCUCGGAUGGAUUUGAGUAUGAGCAUAGCUGUUGGGACCCGAAAGAUGGUGAACUAUGCCUGAAUAGGGUGAAGCCAGAGGAACUCUGGUGGAGGCUCGCAGCGGUUCUGACGUGCAAAUCGAUCGUCAAAUUUGGGUAUAGGG